rnacentral:tRNA from 1 species
GGAGAGGUGGCAGAGCGGUCGAUUGUGCAGCACUGGAAAUGCUGUGUACUCGAAAGGGUACCGAGGGUUCGAAUCCCUCCCUCUCCGC